GGAUGUGAGGGUGAUCUGGCUGCAACAUCUGUCACCCCAUUGAUCGCCAGGGUUGAUUCAGCUGAUCUGGCUGGCUGGGCGGGUGUCCCCUUCCUCCCUCACUGCUCCAUGUGCAUCCCUCCUGAAGCUGUCUCUCCCUCUCCUUCUCUCUCUCUAUAAGUUCGACUUUCAAAUAAAGAAAUAAAUAUUUUAAAAAAAUAGAAAAAAACUAAAUGUUCAUUAAUCAGAAAACUGACUAUAUUAACAGGGUACAAUCAUACGGGAAAAAAACCAUAUUUUUUUAAGGAAUACAAAUUUCAUAAGGACAAGUUU
rnacentral:snRNA from 1 species